ensembl:lncRNA
CUUCACACCAGCUCUGGGGUUCUGAGUAGGUCACCAUCAUUUUUCCCCCUGACACCGAUGGUCUUACCCUGCACAGGUCAGCCACCGCCUCCUACGGCCCAUCAUCAAUUAGUCCUCCACGGUGCCUCGUCUUCAUAAAAUAAAUUUCACACAUCUCGCCCCACUCCAUGUCCUCCUGUUUUCCUGGCGUCUUUGUCUGCAAUCUCACAGUUCACGAUCACCCAACCCAAGCAGCACCUUCCAGCCGCUGACCCCCACCUCCUUUGAUGGUUCCUCGAACGCCAAUGUAUUCUUGCCGGGAGAAUCCCAGGGACGGGGAGCCUGGUGGGCUGCCGUCUAUGGGGUCGCACAGAGUCGGACACGACUGAAGUGACUUAGCAGCAGCGAACGCCAAUGUGAUCAGAACACGGAAACCCAGAUGGUGCUGUGGGGGGUUUCGCAGAAAGGCAGCUCCCAGAUUCCAGCCGAGGGUUCCCCCAGGCCGGCGAGCGUGUCUCCCCCUUGCUCUCUGCAUCUUUGCUUCCCACUCCCAGUCUCCCACGGGCGCCUGCGCGUAGCUCCUUGCAGUUCCGCUCGCGUGCGCAUGCCUGAUCUGGUUUCCGGUCCCACUUUCUCCUGCCCUGAGAAACACGGAAGGACGCAGAAGAGGACGCCCCACGCCCUGCGUCUGCCCACCCCGCAGAGUGGAACGUCUUCUUAUCAACGCGCAGGCAGCAACCACUCUCCCUAGGCGGGCGGGGGGAGGUCCCGGAGUGCUGGGGGAGCUUACUACUUACUACUGCAAGCCUCUCCCGGGUGGUCCCUCGGUGUCUUGUCUUCGCCAUGGGGCCGCCCCUCCUGAUGGCACCAGCGCCUUGAGAGCACUCGGGUAUUAGAACCAUCUGCCCCCGUGACUACAAUUAGGAUGACGCACUUCUCAGACACCGGAGUGUUCCAGGGAAGAGGUGCUCUGCUGUGUUUGAGACUGAAAUCUGUUGGCAAAUAUUAUGAUCUCCAGGUAGAAAUACGAUGCACCACAUGUCUUAGAAAAACAAAAUGAACAAAUAC